rnacentral:rRNA from 1 species
GACGAACGCUGGCGGCGUGCUUAACACAUGCAAGUCGAACGGAAAGGCCCCUUUGGGGGUCCUCGAGUGGCGAACGGGUGAGUAACACGUGAGUAACCUGCCCUUGACUUCGGGAUAACUUCAGGAAACUGGGGCUAAUACCGGAUAGGAAUCCUUGCUGCAUGGUGGGGGUUGGAAAGCUUCGGCGGUUUUGGAUGGACUCGCGGCUUAUCAGCUUGUUGGUGGGGUAGUGGCUUACCAAGGCUUUGACGGGUAGCCGGCCUGAGAGGGCGACCGGCCACAUUGAGACUGAGAUGCGGCCCAGACUCCUACGGGGGGCAGCAGUGGGGAAUAUUGCACAAUGGGCGGAAGCCUGAUGCAGCAACGCCGCGGGCGGGAUGACGGCCUUCGGGUUGUAAACCGCUUUCAGCAGGGGCGAAGCUUGCGGUGACGGUACCUGCAGAAGAAGCACCGGCUAACUACGUG